AUUACUUUGUUGGAACAGCAGCUAUGUGUUUGAAUUCACAGCGCUGAUUGACUCUGGUUCAGCAUUAAACCUAAUUCAUCAAGACCUCCUUACAACAUUCAACAUUCCCGUACUAGAAUGUGAUCCUCCUAUCAAGGUGAACGCUGUAAACAACAAACCCAUUGGAAGUGGAAUAACUCAACAAACUCAACUCAUGAAGAUGCAACUAGGCCUAUUUCACAGAGAAACCAUCACAUUCUAUGUCAUUGACUCUACAUGUCAUGAAAUCAUGCUUGGAGACCCCUGGUUAUCUUUUCACGACCCAGUCAUCUCUCAGAAUAGGUGCAGUGCUCUUCCAACGCCAAGGACAACCAGGCAAGCUUUUUCCCUGUGCUUACUUUUCUAGAAAACUCACGGAUGCUGAGCAUAAUUAUGAUGUCAGACACAAGGAGCUACUGGCUGUGAAGGCGGUCAUUGAAGAAUGGAGGCACUGGUUGGAGGGUUCCACUCACCCCUUCCAGGUUCCACCGUGACCUACCGUCCUGGCAGUAAAAAUAGCAAGGCAGACGCUCUUUCCAGGAGACAUGACCAUCCACUGACAGAUCACCAACCUGAAUCUAUCCUGCCACCGUCUGUCAUCAUAGCACCAGUCACUGGGGACUUUAUAGAUGAAAUUCAGAGAGAACAACGCAACAAACCCGCACGUCAGGGUUGUCCCGCUAACAAACAAUAUGUUCCUUCCAGGCUUCGACUGCGUGUCAUGCAGUGGGUCCACACCUCACUUUGUUCCGGGCAUCCAGGUAUCUCACGCACACUACAUCUCACGCAAAAUUCCUUCUGGUGGCCAUCUAUGGUUAAAGAUGUAACAAAUUACGUUAAGUAAUUCCCAAAUAACUUCCAUCUGGUCUGUUACAACCAUUGCCCAUACCCCAUAGACCUUGGUCACACCUAUCAGUAGAUUUUGUCACCGGUCUACCCACAUCUGACCACUUUACCACAAUCCUAGUAAUUACUGACCGCUUCUCCAAGGCUUUUAGGCUCAUACCCCUGAAAGGUCUUCCCACAGCGAUGGAUACUGCUCAAGCGAUGUUCCACAACGUCUUCAGGAUUUACAGUAUCCCCGAAGACAUUGUUUCAGACUGAGGAACCCAGCUCACGUCCCAGGUAUGGAAAGCAUUCUGUAAACAAUUGGACAUUAAUCUCAGUUUAACUUCAGGUUACCACCCGCAAUCGAACGGGCAAGUGGAGAUACCUCAGGUCAUACUGUGGAUGUGAACAGCAUCGCUGGUCAGAGUUCCUUCCAUGGGCAGAAUACAGGCAAAACUCAUUGAGGCAUUCAUCUACUCCAAUGCGUGCUAGGAUACCAAACCCCCAUGUUCCCGUGGUCAGGUGAACCAUCACUAGUACCUGCAGUCAACGACUGGAUUCGCCGUAGCGAGAGGGUGUGGGACAUCGCUCAUGUAUGUCUGCAAAGAGCUGUCAGGAAUCAGGAGAUUCAAGCUAAUCGACGACGUCGCCCACAUCCUCCCCACCAACCUGGACAAAGGUCUGGCUCUCCACAUGGACCUCAAGUUACGGCUGCCCAGCAGGAAGCUCAGCCCAUGGAGCCACCUCCACCGCUGGACAUUGAUGGAACCCCGGCAUAUGAGCUAAAGGAGUUGUUGGACUCCCGACGGAGAGAGGGUCAGCUCCAAUACUUGGUGGACUGGGAGGGAUACGGACCAGAGGAGAGAUCAUGGGUAGCUGCCCACGACAUCCUGGAUCCCUCAUUGACUGAGGAAUUUCAUUGAGCUAGACCCGAUCGUCCAGCACCGCGACUACGGGAAGUCCUCGCAGAGCAGGGGAUUCUGUAAUGCCACGCCAGCAGAGGGAGCCCUUCCCUGAGUUCUGACUGUGUGCUGCUCCCUCUGCAUCACCUGUUAUUUCCUGUUUGGUGGACAUUGAAGCAUAUCUUUAGCCACUGUUACUUCGCAGAGUAUUCCCAGCCUGACACUCUUACCGAACGUUAUUCCCAUUGCUACACACGUUUGUUUUUGUGUAAAGUGUGUUCAUCCCAUAGGUGUAAUGGUUUUUAUUCUGUACAAACUGUAUAUUCUAUGGUCC